rnacentral:rRNA from 1 species
UACGUAGGGUGCAAGCAUUAAUCGGAUUUAUUGGGCGUAAAGGGCGCGUAGGCGGAAUUGUAAGUCAGAUGUGAAAUCCCGGAGCUUAACUCCGGAACGGCAUUUGAUACUGCUUUUCUAGAGGAUAGACGGAGAAAACGGAAUUCCACAAGUAGCGGUGAAAUGCGUAGAUAUGUGGAAGAACACCUGUGGCGAAAGCGGUUUUCUAGUUUAUUCCUGACGCUGAUGCGCGAAAGCUAGGGGAGCAAACAGG